CCACCUCUCCCAGAUCCCAUUUAAGGGCUGACCACCACUAAGACAGCAUCUCUUUUUGGAGACUUUUCCUUUGUGGUGUUUGGGUGACCAGCCUCAGCAUUUUCUAUUUAGAUUGAAGGCCUCAGGAUUGACCAAUAUCCUUUGUGACAACACCAUCAGGAUGUGUUUCCUGGCUUGACCAUGUGUGAGUCCCACAACCUCAUACAAGGGCGAGGAGUGUAGAGCAGAGCGGAGCAGUCCUGUCCCUGGGCAGAGGACUGCCAGCACGCCUGUCCUGGAGAAUGAAUUCAGAAGAAAAACCAACAAACCCUGUAGUUCAGCAGAUGAGUUUGUGUUAGCGCUUUCACCACUAAACACUUCUGCUGCCCCGGUGUAGUUCUUAUUACUCUUGUGUUCUGCUUCUGGAUUAAAAAAAAAAAAAAAAAAAAGGACCAGUGGAAGGGAAGUGGCACAGCCCAGGUCUGCAGGCUGCCUGAUGCCUUGCUGGGUAAGCUUAAGACUUGGGAUAAAGCCUACCCUGUGCAGAACCACGACAGCUGGAGCAAUGAGUCCUUGCCCAGCUGACAACUUCAAGAGGGUCAGCCACAAUGCUCCUGUAAAGCAGAGGUGGAAUGGUGUGGCUGAGGAUGGUUCAGUUGUUUGAGCAGUGCCCCCAGUAGACUAUGCAGUGGGAGUGACUGGGUGAAGAGCAGAAGGCACCCCUUGGCGCAGCGUGUGUUGGUGGAAGAGCAGACAGACAACAGAACCCAAACAAAGCCCUCUAAAGUUUGCAGGUGGAGCCAUAUCACUGCAAGCUAGGAUAUAAACUGAGACCCCUAAGCUACGGGCAUGCAGGUAACAUAGCAUGCAGCUCCUUUCUGGAGAGCGACAGCAUUAGCACAGCACCUUGCUUUUGCACUUGAGCCUCGUGUGCUGGGAUCUGCAUCACCUCUUGAUGAGACAGAUGGUAAGAGGAAAUCCUGGACCACAGGAGCCCUGAGCCCUGUCAGCAAAGCUGGAGAAGAACUGUCCUUCUGACCAAAUGCUCAUUCUCAUCACUACAGAUGUGUCCAUCUAUGUUUUCAGAUGCAAGCAUUAAUUUCUGUAGCUAAUCAAAAAGUCAUUGAGAAAUGUCAGUCUGAGACAUGUCAUCUCUUCUGUUCAAUGAACCGUCACUGAAGCUCCCCAGAAGAGACCUGUAAGGAUGUGACUGUGCUCCAGUGUGUGUGUGUGUGCUCAGAGCCAGGAGCUGAAGACCCUCCUCGCCUUAUUCACAACAUUCUUCCAGUUCAGAAGAAACAGCUUUCCCCCCCCCCCCCCCCUUAGUUUUGAUCUAAUUCAGAAGGAUUUUUUGUUUUUAAUUUCUGGGUACAAUAAUGUACCUGUGAACUGGAAAGGUUUAUGUUAGAGCUGUGGAAACUCUCAUGUCCUGUCACUUAGGAGAAAGAAGGUGAUAAACUCAUCUGAUACUCCGAAGAGUUGAAACAAUGGAUAGAAUAUGUGAAAUGAAGACAUGUAAGGCAGUGUGAGCACAAGACAAGCUAAUGCCUGAAAGAUUAAACAGGAGGUGGUACAGCAAAUGCACAGGAUUACAACCACAGCAUGGUCCAGGAGGGGAAGAGCAGGCAGUAAGAUAAGCUGUGAGGGAUGGCUGCUGGGAAAGCAAAGGAAGAAACAAAGCAGUGAAAUGUAGGAUCAGCAAAAGCCACCCUGGAGCUGUGAGCUAUUUUUCCCAUGGAAGUAAUAUGGAAGCUGGGACAUGGGACACACAGACAAGGCCUGGAUGUUUCCAAGGGGAUGUUCCAGCACCGACAGGUUUUGCAGCUGCCAGCUGCACUCACCUGCUUGGUAACUGAAGCAAGUUCCCCAUCCCAAGGUGAAGGCAGUAAUUGCAAACAAACGCUGCCUCUGUUGGAGUAGCUCCUGGGCAGAGGAACAAAAAUCAGGGGUCUGCAGCCAGACCUACUGCUGGCACACAACUGAAGGGAAGAAUGGUGCUGCUUCAGAGAGAGAAACGCAGACACAACAGCGUGCCUACUGAAACCCCCACCUUGGCUGCCCAUUUCCCACUGGACCCUUCCUGUAGCCACUCUUUCCAGUGGGGCUGUGUCUGGGCACCCCUUUGGGUUUCUUCUGAAUUGCUGUGAGGUGUCUGGCUGUGCCUGCCCUGCUGGGAAGGAGCGUGCAAAACCAGUGCAUAGGGCUGAAGUCCCUGAGUAAGAGGUUCCCUGCUGGUCAUCAAGCUGUAGGGGAUGGAUGCAGUGCUGCUGGCUGGCACUGGAGAAGGAUGACAUCAUUGCCACAUUGGGGGAAAGCUUAUCCCACUUCUCCUUCAACCUGCACCUACAAUUUUCCUUUUGAAUCUCUCUCCAAUCCAGCUGCUCCCACAUGGGUUACUAAUAUAGGGCACGCAACGGGGCUUCUCCCCGCUCGGCCUAUCCUCAUCUAUUCAGCUAAUUAGCUUGGUUUUGCUGGAGGGGGAUGUGGGGAAAGGGAGGGAGAAGUAAUGAAAGGGGAGGGGGAGAUCUUGUCCAAAAUCUGCACUUCUGCUCCAUCUUCCCUAAUCCUAGGCUGAUCUCAGCUCUAAUGCCAUAUGCAGUGCUCUGCAAAAGUGGGGGCAUGCUACUGCCCGCAGCAGCAGCAGGUGUUUGAGCAGAAUUGCCUGUGCCCUAGGGAAAUAACAGCUCCCAGCUGGCCAGUGAGAUACCACAGAGCAAACGGCAGAGGAUUUGGUUUUGUUUUCCCCUGACCCCUCUUGCAGCACCAGCUCAGGCCAGGCCAGGAAUGCAGGAAUGGUUUAGGGGUGCAUCACUCCCUGGGAGCACCCACCAGCACCAAAAAUACCCACAGCCAGACCAGUGUCACGCAAGCAGCUUUAUGACUCCUUUAGUGGGGAAUGAGUGGUUAAUUACCAUGUGCCACUGCUGUUAACCUCUGCAAAUAAAGUCUAAUUAUCGCAGAUUAAUGAACAGAGCAGAGGCACAUCCAACGAGCCACUGCUGAGGGUCUUGCAGGGCCACAUUUCAUCAUCUUUCUGAGCACUGCCAUCCUGCCUCCUGCACACUGUGCUCCCCUUUGAGCAGGUCCCUGCCACGUUUGUCCUUGCCGUUCCUGGCGGCUGUACCCAUGGAGAACCCGCUGCUGGCCAGCACUGCUUUGUACUGUCCCUUGCUUAGAAAUAGGAGGUACUCAGCAAAAUCCAAUUUUGAAUAACAGUUUUGAAUGUUCUGCCUUUCAGUGCAAGUUAUCCAUCUCCUUUUCUAGGUUCAGUGGAAUGAGAGGUUCCACUUGUACCUGGCUCCCUCCAGCCAUACUGAAUGAUUGGAUUGUAUACAUUUGACUGCAAAUAUCUAACUGAAAAAUGAGAUGUGCAUAGGCAAAAGAGCACUGCCAGGGCAGAAGGGGACUCCUUUUGGAGGCUGAAGCCCCAUUUAGGUGCAGGGGUGUUCCUACAUGGACAGUCACACAUCAACUCUCGCAGGCCAAAAAUCAUCCAAAUCUCCCAUCUCCUCUGGGAAAGAAAAAAAGUCCCUAAGCAUGCAGUUAGCUCUCAUAGUUGCAGGAAAUAGCUCAAAAGAGUCUCACAGACUGAAAAAAACAGAUAAAGAGAAAAGAGAGCACAGUUACUGAUUUUUUUUUUAAACUCACACCAUGUGUGGGGCUGGCAUGGCAGCACUCUGGCAGUGUUUGUCAGAGCUGGGUGGCAGGACUGGACCCAAAAUGAGGCCUGGGAGGCACGGAGUGUAGCUUCAAAGAGAGAAGCAUUAACAAAUUACAAGAUUUUAUGAUCAUGUUGGGAAAGCCUACACUUCAGGCACCGAAAAAAAUAAUAUAACGUUUUUUUUUACUAUUCUAUCUUAUUUUCAACACUUGCUGAGGGGCUGGUGCUUCGUCUCUUACCCACUGACCAAAGGUAUCCUUUCAGAUUUAAAUCAGUUAUCUCACACUCACCACAAUGAGCAUCACUACCAUGCACGAGAUUGUUUCAUGAAGGCUCCUGUGCUGCCAAAUUGCUAGAGCCUCUUCUUGUUGCUCAGCCUGAAUUUAAGUUGCCAGUCCCAACUUCCCAUGCUCUGAAGCCAGGAGGGAUGCUCCAGCAGAGAGAGGAAAUCCAUACCCAGGGAUGCACUGCUGCUGCAACUGAUGCCUAAUGGCCCUCGCAGCAGAGCUCCAGCAGCCUCAGCUGUGCCAGACUGAACAUUUCCCAUUGUCUCCCUUGCGGAGACAUUGCUGCUGAACAGCACAGAAACGUCCCUGGCCGGGAUGUGUGUGAGCGCUUUGACACGCUGCCGCACUGAGAAACCAGCAGAUGCAGAGGAAGCUGAAUGGGCAAAUGAAUGUUAAAAUAAUUGGAGCCACCAUUUCCCACUUGAUGAAUAUGUUGCUCAAAUUACAGCUCUGCCUUGAAAACAAAACAAAACAAAAACUCCAAUGAAUGUAACAUUAAUUUAAUAACAGCAGAACUUGUAAAUAAUGUAACAUUCAUUUAAAUGGUUGCUCAUGCAAGAUCUCUUGAGAGGAGUGCAAGGGAUGCUAUAAUUUUGGGGAUGGGAGGAUGAGUUCUGUAGAAUGCCACAUUUUAUUUGUGGUCCCCCAGAAGCAUGCGGUUGAGGUGCUGGCAGCCCCCAGCCCUACUAAUCAGAGGGACUUCUGCUGAGGGAGCAUGUUGGGGGUUGGCUGUGCUGCAUACCUUGUGAAUGAACAGGGCAAGCUUUCUUUCCUUCCUGCAUCAGUCAAUGUGACCAUUCCCACAAGUCAUGUGCAUGCAGCUCUCAAUACCUAAUUCCCCUCUUCCUCCUUCACAAUGCACAUAAUUAAGGUAAAAUCCCACUAUUUUGGCUUGCUGAUAUACACCACUCUCCCUAACUCACAGAAGUUACAGCAAAAUCACCUCGCUUUAUUUGCUUAGGGAAAUGCUUUGCUCUGCACUCUGGCAACCCUGCCUGCAAAAUGAUUUCUCACAAGGAAGCUCAUUCCGCCUGCAUGGACCCGUGGGGUGACCAGGAGGGCCGGCACUCAGGUGAUCCAUCCAAACUGAUUGGUGACAGCCACUACAAGCACAGCAUGCUGCUAUGGACAAUGCACAUGGUUGCAGCCUUGCACAUCCCUCUGUGGGUGAGCAUCUCUGGGGACGGACCUUUUCCUUCCUCUUCCUUUUCCUCUCCUUUUUGCUCAGCUGUGUUGCAGGAUAAAACUCUCUGUUUGGAAAGGUGCAUGCAUGCCUCCUCCUCGCUAGUCCCCAGCUUUCUCCCCAGCACUGCCCCAUGCCCGGCCACAGGGCGCUGGUGGCUCCCACCCCACAUAUACCCUGAGCCUGAGCAGCACUGACACAGCCCAGAUGUCUCCCCACUCCACUUCAGCUCCUAUUUGACUAUCUGACUUCUCCUUCACCCUCCACCACAAGGUGGAAUAAUAUUCACAGGUACACAAGAAAAGCAGUUCAGGGCCCAGCUCAUAAUUACUAUUCAACUCAGAGAAAAGCAGAACAGAGAUAUUCAGUCCAACUCUUCGUUCUUUACAUUUUUUUUUCUUCUUUAAAGUUGCCCCCCCCCCCCUUUUAUUUUUUCUCUGUCUCUUUCCUGCUGUAACAACCUAUUGCCAGCAUCCACAACCUCCUUUUGCCAAGGACCUCUGGGUUUUUUCCUGCCUGCUUCCUCUGCUUUAUUUAUUGACAUAUUCAAUAAUUCAGAGGAAUCUUAUUUUAAAUGCACAGGGCAGAACUCGCCCCCAGGUUUAAAAAACAAAUCCUGUCACGUUUGGCAAACAGCUGCACACAAAGACAGA